UAAGGCUAAAUACUCUCUAGUGACCGAUAGUGAACCAGUACCGUGAGGGAAAGGUGAAAAGCACCCCGGAAGGGGAGUGAAAUAGAACCUGAAACCGUGUGCUUACAAGUAGUCAGAGCCCGUUAAUGGGUGAUGGCGUGCCUUUUGUAGAAUGAACCGGCGAGUUACGAUUUGAUGCAAGGUUAAGCAGUAAAUGUGGAGCCGUAGCGAAAGCGAGUCUGAAUAGGGCGUUUAGUAUUUGGUCGUAGACCCGAAACCAGGUGAUCUACCCUUGGUCAGGUUGAAGUUCAGGUAACACUGAAUGGAGGACCGAACCGACUUACGUUGAAAAGUGAGCGGAUGAACUGAGGGUAGCGGAGAAAUUCCAAUCGAACCUGGAGAUAGCUGGUUCUCUCCGAAAUAGCUUUAGGGCUAGCCUCAAGUGAUGAUUAUUGGAGGUAGAGCACUGUUUGGACGAGGGGCCCCUCUCGGGUUACCGAAUUCAGACAAACUCCGAAUGCCAAUUAAUUUAACUUGGGAGUCAGAACAUGGGUGAUAAGGUCCGUGUUCGAAAGGGAAACAGCCCAGACCACCAGCUAAGGUCCCAAAAUAUAUGUUAAGUGGAAAAGGAUGUGGCGUUGCCCAGACAACUAGGAUGUUGGCUUAGAAGCAGCCAUCAUUUAAAGAGUGCGUAAUAGCUCACUAGUCGAGUGACACUGCGCCGAAAAUGUACCGGGGCUAAACAUAUUACCGAAGCUGUGGAUUGUCCUUUGGACAAUGGUAGGAGAGCGUUCUAAGGGCGUUGAAGCAUGAUCGUAAGGACAUGUGGAGCGCUUAGAAGUGAGAAUGCCGGUGUGAGUAGCGAAAGACGGGUGAGAAUCCCGUCCACCGAUUGACUAAGGUUUCCAGAGGAAGGCUCGUCCGCUCUGGGUUAGUCGGGUCCUAAGCUGAGGCCGACAGGCGUAGGCGAUGGAUAACAGGUUGAUAUUCCUGUACCACCUAUAAUCGUUUUAAUCGAUGGGGGGACGCAGUAGGAUAGGCGAAGCGUGCGAUUGGAUUGCACGUCUAAGCAGUAAGGCUGAGUAUUAGGCAAAUCCGGUACUCAUUAAGGCUGAGCUGUGAUGGGGAGAAGACAUUGUGUCUUCGAGUCGUUGAUUUCACACUGCCGAGAAAAGCCUCUAGAUAGAAAAUAGGUGCCCGUACCGCAAACCGACACAGGUAGUCAAGAUGAGAAUUCUAAGGUGAGCGAGCGAACUCUCGUUAAGGAACUCGGCAAAAUGACCCCGUAACUUCGGGAGAAGGGGUGCUCUUUAGGGUUAACGCCCAGAAGAGCCGCAGUGAAUAGGCCCAAGCGACUGUUUAUCAAAAACACAGGUCUCUGCUAAACCGUAAGGUGAUGUAUAGGGGCUGACGCCUGCCCGGUGCUGGAAGGUUAAGAGGAGUGGUUAGCUUCUGCGAAGCUACGAAUCGAAGCCCCAGUAAACGGCGGCCGUAACUAUAACGGUCCUAAGGUAGCGAAAUUCCUUGUCGGGUAAGUUCCGACCCGCACGAAAGGCGUAACGAUUUGGGCACUGUCUCAACGAGAGACUCGGUGAAAUCAUAGUACCUGUGAAGAUGCAGGUUACCCGCGACAGGACGGAAAGACCCCGUGGAGCUUUACUGUAGCCUGAUAUUGAAAUUCGGCACAGCUUGUACAGGAUAGGUAGGAGCCUUUGAAACGUGAGCGCUAGCUUACGUGGAGGCGCUGGUGGGAUACUACCCUAGCUGUGUUGGCUUUCUAACCCGCACCACUUAUCGUGGUGGGAGACAGUGUCAGGCGGGCAGUUUGACUGGGGCGGUCGCCUCCUAAAAGGUAACGGAGGCGCUCAAAGGUUCCCUCAGAAUGGUUGGAAAUCAUUCAUAGAGUGUAAAGGCAUAAGGGAGCUUGACUGCGAGACCUACAAGUCGAGCAGGGUCGAAAGACGGACUUAGUGAUCCGGUGGUUCCGCAUGGAAGGGCCAUCGCUCAACGGAUAAAAGCUACCCCGGGGAUAACAGGCUUAUCUCCCCCAAGAGUUCACAUCGACGGGGAGGUUUGGCACCUCGAUGUCGGCUCAUCGCAUCCUGGGGCUGUAGUCGGUCCCAAGGGUUGGGCUGUUCGCCCAUUAAAGCGGUACGCGAGCUGGGUUCAGAACGUCGUGAGACAGUUCGGUCCCUAUCCGUCGUGGGCGUAGGAAAUUUGAGAGGAGCUGUCCUUAGUACGAGAGGACCGGGAUGGACAUACCUCUGGUGUACCAGUUGUCGUGCCAACGGCAUAGCUGGGUAGCUAUGUGUGGACGGGAUAAGUGCUGAAAGCAUCUAAGCAUGAAGCCCCCCUCAAGAUGAGAUUUCCCAACUUCGGUUAUAAGAUCCCUCAAAGAUGAUGAGGUUAAUAGGUUCGAGGUGGAAGCAUGGUGACAUGUGGAGCUGACGAAUACUAA
rnacentral:rRNA from 1 species